AUGAAGUCCAGCAGAGGUACUUAGUUCAUUUUAUCAAGAGAAGCCCAAAUGCUAGAGGCCGCCAGGAAUUUGCCAGUCAAACAGGUGUAUGUAGUUGGCUGGAUCCCAAGAUUGUGACUCUCCCACUGGUACUGAUGAGCUGCUGUCAGAAGACAAGAAGCCCCCAGUCUCGCGGGGUUUCGGAGCCUCUCGGUGGCCUGCUGGAGUCGCGGAGGGCCACCGCCUAGACCUGGAGAGAAGCUCUUGCUUUGCGCCGUGCUGCUUGUUGUGCUGCAGUCCCCCCUGGACGAGAACCGCCGCGCUACAGCGUCUGGACACUGCACCAUCACCUUGCUGUAUCUGCAGCUUCUUCGGGUGCAAGAGCUCGUUCACUCCUCUCCCGCACCCCUAUUCCCUGCUGAGCGUCCAUGGGCAGUGAGUUCAGCAGCUUGCA